rnacentral:tRNA from 1 species
UGUUCGGGUAUCUUAUAAAAUUAAGAGUUGGGCUCAAGGCUCAGAAAGCAUUAAAAUUUUUAUGUCCGAAUU